ACGGUGGAUGUGGAUUCUGUGUUCAGUGGCGGACGGGUGAGUAACGCGUGAGGAACCUGCCCUGUACUGGGGGAUAACACUUAGAAAUAGGUGCUAAUACCGCAUAAGCGCACAGUGCCGCAUGGCACAGUGUGAAAAACUCCGGUGGUAUAAGAUGGACCCGCGUCUGAUUAGCUUGUUGGUGAGGUAACGGCCCACCAAGGCGACGAUCAGUAGCCGGCCUGAGAGGGUGAACGGCCACAUUGGGACUGAGACACGGCCCAAACUCC
rnacentral:rRNA from 1 species